rnacentral:rRNA from 1 species
GAUGAACGCUGGCGGCGUGCCUAAAACAUGCAAGUCGAGCUACAGGACAGGAAGUUCGUCCUCUUACGGUUGGCGCGGGACGGGCGGGUAACAAGUGGAUAACCAACUAAUAAGACGGGGAUAAUUCCGGAAAACCGGAGAAAAUACCGGAUAAUACUUUCAACGGCUGGGUUCAAUAGAGAAAGAGGGUUUUCUUGUCACUAUUAGAUGAUUCCGGGCCGCAUUAGCUAGUUGGUAAGGUAACGGCUUACCAAGGCAACGAUGCGUAGCCGACCUGAGAGGGUGAUCGGCCACACUGGAACUGAGACACGGUCCAGACUCCUACGGGAGGCAGCAGUAGGGAAUCUUCCGCAAUGGGCGAAAGCCUGACGGAGCAACGCCGCGUGAGUGAUGAAGGUCUUCGGAUCGUAAAACUCUGUUAUUAGGGAAGAACAAAUGUGUAAGUAACUAUGCACGUCUUGACGGUACCUAAUGAGAAAGCCACGGCUAACUACGUG